rnacentral:rRNA from 1 species
ACGCUGGCGGCGUGCUUAACACAUGCAAGUCGAACGAACCUUCGGGUUAGUGGCGGACGGGUGAGUAACGCGUGAGAAUCUGCCCUCAGGAGGGGGAUAACGGUUGGAAACGACCGCUAAUACCCCAUAUGCCUACUGGUGAAAUGAAUUUCGCCUGAGGAUGAGCUCGCGUCUGAUUAGCUUGUUGGUGAGGUAAUGGCUCACCAAGGCUUCGAUCAGUAGCUGGUCUGAGAGGAUGAUCAGCCACACUGGGACUGAGACACGGCCCAGACUCCUACGGGAGGCAGCAGUGGGGAAUUUUCCGCAAUGGGCGAAAGCCUGACGGAGCAACGCCGCGUGAGGGACGAAGGCCUCUGGGCUGUAAACCUCUUUUCUCAAGGAAGAAGAUAUGACGGUACUUGAGGAAUAAGCCACGGCUAAUUCCGUGCCAGCAGCCGCGGUAAUACGGGAGUGGCAAGCGUUAUCCGGAAUUAUUGGGCGUAAAGCGUCCGCAGGCGGCUUUUCAAGUCUGCUGUUAAAACGUGGAGCUUAACUCCAUCAUGGCAGUGGAAACUGAAAGGCUUGAGUAUGGUAGGGGCAGAGGGAAUUUCCGGUGUAGCGGUGAAAUGCGUAGAUAUCGGGAAGAACACCAGUGGCGAAGGCGCUCUGCUGGGCCAUUACUGACGCUCAUGGACGAAAGCCAGGGGAGCGAAAGGGAUUAGAUACCCCUGUAGUCCUGGCCGUAAACGAUGAACACUAGGUGUCGGGGGAAUCGACCCCUUCGGUGUCGUAGCUAACGCGUUAAGUGUUCCGCCUGGGGAGUACGCAC